rnacentral:misc_RNA from 1 species
GAUGAAGAACGUAGCGAAAUGCGAUACGUAAUGUGAAUUGCAGAAUUCAGUGAAUCAUCGAAUCUUUGAACGCAUAUUGCGCUCUCUGGUAUUCCGGAGAGCAUGCUUGUUUGAGUAUCAGUAAACACCUCAACUUCCAUAUCUUUUUUGAAAUGGGAGUUGGACUUGAGUGAUCCCAACGCUUUUCCUCACCGAAAAGUGGCGGGUUACUUGAACUGCAGGUGCAGCUGGACUUUUCUCUGAGCUAUAAGCAUAUCUAUUUAGUCUGCCUAAAAAACAGAUUAUUACCUUGGCUGCAGCUAACAUAAAGGAGAUUAGUUCUUGUGCUGACUGAUGCAGGAUUCACAAAGACAGGCUUCGGCCGACUUUGUAAACUCGAUCUCAAAUCAAGUAAGACUACCCGCUGAACUUAAGCAUAUCAAUAAGCGGAGGA